rnacentral:rRNA from 1 species
AUUGAACGCUGGCGGCAUGCUUUACACAUGCAAGUCGAACGGUAACAGGCCUUCGGGCGCUGACGAGUGGCGAACGGGUGAGUAAUGCAUCGGAACGUGCCCAGUCGUGGGGAUAACGCAGCGAAAGCUGCGCUAAUACCGCAUACGAUCUAUGGAUGAAAGCGGGGGACCGUAAGGCCUCGCGCGAUUGGAGCGGCCGAUGUCAGAUUAGGUAGUUGGUGGGGUAAAGGCUCACCAAGCCAACGAUCUGUAGCUGGUCUGAGAGGACGACCCGCAACACUGGGACUGGGAAACGGCCCAGACUCCUACGGGAGGAAGCAGUGGGGAAUUUUGGACAAUGGGCGCAAGCCUGAUCCAGCAAUGCCGCGUGCAGGAAGAAGGCCUUCGGGUUGUAAACCGCUUUUGUACGGAACGAAACGGUCCUGGUUAAUACCUGGGGCUAAUGACGGUACCGUAAGAAUAAGCACCGGCUAACUACGUGCCAGCAGCCGCCGUAAGAC